AGGGGAUCAAUAUGCAACAGCCUCUCAAGAAGCUAUGUCCUUCAUCUUAUUUCUCAUCAGCAGAUGGGAAAUGAAAAUCUGAUCUGUCAUCAGUCACAUAGUGCAUCUGAAAGAUUACUGAAGAAGUUUAUUACUGCAGAAUAUUACUCCAGAAGUUGGAGGUUUGUCUUUUCUACAGUAUCUGACUGGCUUCAAGAGACAUCAUCUGUGAUUAGCCGUAUCUUCACGGGGAUAGCAGCAACUUGUUUUAGGUUUCCUAGCCAUUGAAGAGAGCAUGUGUGGUGAGAGAACUCAAUCCAUUAG
rnacentral:lncRNA from 1 species